UACGGAGGGUGCAAGCGUUGUCCGGAUUUAUUGGGUUUAAAGGGUGCGUAGGCGGCUAUUUAAGUCAGUGGUGAAAUCCUGCAGCUCAACUGUAGAACAGCCAUUGAUACUGAAUAGCUUGAGUACAGACGAGGUAGGCGGAAUUUAUGGUGUAGCGGUGAAAUGCAUAGAUACCAUAAAGAACCCCUAUUGCGAAGGCAGCUUACUAGGCUGUAACUGACGCUGAGGCACGAAAGCGUGGGGAGCAAACAGG
rnacentral:rRNA from 1 species